CGCAAGAAGUGAUAUUAUAUCGUUGUUACCGUGAUGUAUACGAUCAUGUGCUGCGUCAUUUUGCCGACCAACGACAACGAAACCGGGUGUACGAAUCGACCGGCUGAUAGCGGUUCCAUACGGAGAAAACAAGUGCAGCGUGGAACGAGGGGGGCAGCAGUGACUCUGUGGGUGCAGGCCAUUUCAUUCGACCAUUAUCCUGUUUGCGCGUACCGACGCCAGAAAGGAAGAAAAAGAAGCUAGACACGUGGAGAACACGAAGGACGGGCCAGAAACUCGGAAUAAAAGAAAAAGACGAUACAGUGAAAUGGAGUCUCUCUACUUCUGCAACGUAUUUUGUGAAUUAUCGUAAAUUUGAUAAUUUGUCUCGUUUUGUAACUCGAUGGAUCAAUAAUCGCUUGAAUCCACAGACACAACACGAGAGUAGUUUAUAUAGUUUAGGUAUUUGGAUGG
rnacentral:misc_RNA from 1 species